UACGGAGGGUGCUAGCGUUGUUCGGAAUUACUGGGCGUAAAGGGCGCGUAGGCGGCCGUUUGCGUCGGAUGUGAAAGCCCGGGGCUCAACCUCGGCAGGUCGUUGGAAACCAUAUGGCUAGAGUCCGGAAGAGGAGAGUGGAAUUCCUGGUGUAGCGGUGAAAUGCGCAGAUAUCAGGAAGAACACCAAUGGCGAAGGCAGCUCUCUGGGACGGUACUGACGCUGAGACGCGAAAGCGUGGGGAGCGAACAGG
rnacentral:rRNA from 1 species